UACGUAGGGUGCGAGCGUUGUCCGGAAUUACUGGGCGUAAAGAGCUCGUAGGUGGUUUGUCGCGUUGUUCGUGAAAACUCACAGCUCAACUGUGGGCGUGCGGGCGAUACGGGCAGACUGGAGUACUGCAGGGGAGACUGGAAUUCCUGGUGUAGCGGUGGAAUGCGCAGAUAUCAGGAGGAACACCGGUGGCGAAGGCGGGGUCUCUGGGCCGAUACUGACGCUGAGGAGCGAAAGCGUGGGGGAGCAAACAGG
rnacentral:rRNA from 1 species